rnacentral:rRNA from 1 species
GACGAACGCUGGCGGCGUGCUUAACACAUGCAAGUCGAGCGGUAAGGCCCUUUCGGGGGUACACGAGCGGCGAACGGGUGAGUAACACGUGGGUGACCUGCCUCUAGCUCUGGGAUAAGCCUGGGAAGCUGGGUCUAAUACCGGAUAUGACCUCGCGGUGCGUGUUGCGGGGUGGAAAGCCUUGUGCGGCUAGGGAUGGGCCCGCGGCCUAUCAGCUUGUUGGUGGGGUGAUGGCCUACCAAGGCGACGACGGGUAGCCGGCCUGAGAGGGCGACCGGCCACACUGGGACUGAGACACGGCCCAGACUCCUACGGGAGGCAGCAGUGGGGAAUCUUGCGCAAUGGGCGAAAGCCUGACGCAGCGACGCCGCGUGAGGGAUGACGGCCU